rnacentral:rRNA from 1 species
UACGUAGGGGGCGAGCGUUGUCCGGAUUCAUUGGGCGUAAAGAGCUCGUAGGCGGUUUGGCAAGUCGGGUGUGAAAUCUCUGGGCUCAACUCAGAGAGGCCACUCGAUACUGCUAUGACUAGAGUCCGGUAGGGGACCAUGGAAUUCCUGGUGUAGCGGUGAAAUGCGCAGAUAUCAGGAGGAACACCGGUGGCGAAGGCGGUGGUCGUGGGCCGGCACUGACGCUGGAGGAGCGAAAGCGUGGGGAGCGAACAGG